rnacentral:rRNA from 1 species
GAUGAACGCUGGCGGCGUGCCUAAUACAUGCAAGUCGAGCGAACAGACGAGGAGCUUGCUCCUCUGACGUUAGCGGCGGACGGGUGAGUAACACGUGGAUAACCUACCUAUAAGACUGGGAUAACUUCGGGAAACCGGAGCUAAUACCGGAUAAUAUAUUGAACCGCAUGGGUCAAUAGUGAAAGACGGUUUUGCUGUCACUUAUAGAUGGAUCCGCGCCGCAUUAGCUAGUUGGUAAGGUAACGGCUUACCAAGGCGACGAUGCGUAGCCGACCUGAGAGGGUGAUCGGCCACACUGGAACUGAGACACGGUCCAGACUCCUACGGGAGGCAGCAGUAGGGAAUCUUCCGCAAUGGGCGAAAGCAUGACGGAGCAACGCCGCGUGAGUGAUGAAGGUCUUCGGAUCGUAAAACUCUGUUAUUAGGGAAGAACAAAUGUGUAAGUAACUAUGCACGUCUUGACGGUACCUAAUCAGAAAGCCACGGCUAACUACGUG